CAACAAAAGUUGAAGUCCCUGUGGCUAAGGACAGCAGAGACAUUACCACUCUGAGGCCUGAAGGCACAGAUCAUCCAUCCAAGCAGCUGUGUCCCUCUUUCCCUUGGGUCUGAAAGAUUUUGGAUCAUGGAAGAGAAGCCACCCCGCAGGAGCGUUAGAUCCCAGUUCUACCAGCGCCACAGAAUGCAGAGGGGAGCAGGAGAACCAAUACAAGGCAGUUUCCCUCCAGAAUUUCCUGACCUGGUAACUGUGCUAGACAAGAAAAGCCAACAGCUCCGUUCUCUAGUUUUACACAGCUCCCACAGCCACAGAGACCACUUGGGCCAAGAUAUCAGUGAAGUGUGAAGACCUCAAGUGCUUAGAAGAGUGAAAAGGAACAUGAUCUUAGAAAAGCUCAGUCUUGCACCUCGAGGAGCCUGGGGGACACGUGAGGACACCUUCAGCAUGGUCCACACCCUCCAUUCACCCCCAAACCCCUGCUCAUGGCUACCACUUGGGCCUCAGGGUGUGUACACCAGCCGCAGGGUCUGCCACCCAGGGGACAGGCCCAGGGAAG